rnacentral:rRNA from 1 species
GAGUAGGGCGGGACACGUGGUAUCCUGUCUGAAUAUGGGGGGACCAUCCUCCAAGGCUAAAUACUCCUGACUGACCGAUAGUGAACCAGUACCGUGAGGGAAAGGCGAAAAGAACCCCGGCGAGGGGAGUGAAAAAGAACCUGAAACCGUGUACGUACAAGCAGUGGGAGCACGCUUAGGCGUGUGACUGCGUACCUUUUGUAUAAUGGGUCAGCGACUUAUAUUCUGUAGCAAGGUUAACCGAAUAGGGGAGCCGAAGGGAAACCGAGUCUUAACUGGGCGUUAAGUUGCAGGGUAUAGACCCGAAACCCGGUGAUCUAGCCAUGGGCAGGUUGAAGGUUGGGUAACACUAACUGGAGGACCGAACCGACUAAUGUUGAAAAAUUAGCGGAUGACUUGUGGCUGGGGGUGAAAGGCCAAUCAAACCGGGAGAUAGCUGGUUCUCCCCGAAAGCUAUUUAGGUAGCGCCUCGUGAAUUCAUCUCCGGGGGUAGAGCACUGUUUCGGCAAGGGGGUCAUCCCGACUUACCAACCCGAUGCAAACUGCGAAUACCGGAGAAUGUUAUCACGGGAGACACACGGCGGGUGCUAACGUCCGUCGUGAAGAGGGAAACAACCCAGACCGCCAGCUAAGGUCCCAAAGUCAUGGUUAAGUGGGAAACGAUGUGGGAAGGCCCAGACAGCCAGGAUGUUGGCUUAGAAGCAGCCAUCAUUUAAAGAAAGCGUAAUAGCUCACUGGUCGAGUCGGCCUGCGCGGAAGAUGUAACGGGGCUAAACCAUGCACCGAAGCUGCGGCAGCGACGCUUAUGCGUUGUUGGGUAGGGGAGCGUUCUGUAAGCCUGCGAAGGUGUGCUGUGAGGCAUGCUGGAGGUAUCAGAAGUGCGAAUGCUGACAUAAGUAACGAUAAAGCGGGUGAAAAGCCCGCUCGCCGGAAGACCAAGGGUUCCUGUCCAACGUUAAUCGGGGCAGGGUGAGUCGACCCCUAAGGCGAGGCCGAAAGGCGUAGUCGAUGGGAAACAGGUUAAUAUUCCUGUACUUGGUGUUACUGCGAAGGGGGGACGGAGAAGGCUAUGUUGGCCGGGCGACGGUUGUCCCGGUUUAAGCGUGUAGGCUGGUUUUCCAGGCAAAUCCGGAAAAUCAAGGCUGAGGCGUGAUGACGAGGCACUACGGUGCUGAAGCAACAAAUGCCCUGCUUCCAGGAAAAGCCUCUAAGCAUCAGGUAACAUCAAAUCGUACCCCAAACCGACACAGGUGGUCAGGUAGAGAAUACCAAGGCGCUUGAGAGAACUCGGGUGAAGGAACUAGGCAAAAUGGUGCCGUAACUUCGGGAGAAGGCACGCUGAUAUGUAGGUGAAGUCCCUCGCGGAUGGAGCUGAAAUCAGUCGAAGAUACCAGCUGGCUGCAACUGUUUAUUAAAAACACAGCACUGUGCAAACACGAAAGUGGACGUAUACGGUGUGACGCCUGCCCGGUGCCGGAAGGUUAAUUGAUGGGGUUAGCGCAAGCGAAGCUCUUGAUCGAAGCCCCGGUAAACGGCGGCCGUAACUAUAACGGUCCUAAGGUAGCGAAAUUCCUUGUCGGGUAAGUUCCGACCUGCACGAAUGGCGUAAUGAUGGCCAGGCUGUCUCCACCCGAGACUCAGUGAAAUUGAACUCGCUGUGAAGAUGCAGUGUACCCGCGGCAAGACGGAAAGACCCCGUGAACCUUUACUAUAGCUUGACACUGAACAUUGAGCCUUGAUGUGUAGGAUAGGUGGGAGGCUUUGAAGUGUGGACGCCAGUCUGCAUGGAGCCGACCUUGAAAUACCACCCUUUAAUGUUUGAUGUUCUAACGUUGACCCGUAAUCCGGGUUGCGGACAGUGUCUGGUGGGUAGUUUGACUGGGGCGGUCUCCUCCUAAAGAGUAACGGAGGAGCACGAAGGUUGGCUAAUCCUGGUCGGACAUCAGGAGGUUAGUGCAAUGGCAUAAGCCAGCUUGACUGCGAGCGUGACGGCGCGAGCAGGUGCGAAAGCAGGUCAUAGUGAUCCGGUGGUUCUGAAUGGAAGGGCCAUCGCUCAACGGAUAAAAGGUACUCCGGGGAUAACAGGCUGAUACCGCCCAAGAGUUCAUAUCGACGGCGGUGUUUGGCACCUCGAUGUC